UGAGCGGUACUGUAGCGAUAAGGGAGAGAGGCGAUAGCGAGGCAAAGGGAGGAAUAGGCGCUCGGGCGAUGGAGGCAAUCCCUUUCUGUUCAUGUCGAUUCCCAGAUCCCCCACCUGUGGAGCUUGAUUUCUCUCUCAUUUCCCUUUGAUUCUCGCCUCCUGCGGUUGGUUGGUCUCUCAAUUUCUCUCUCGAGCGCGUGAUUUUGUUCAUUUCUCGGUGUGUAGCUUCGAGAUCUAGGGGUCGGUUGCUGAUGUGAUUUUGUUAGGGUUCGUGGUAGGCGUGUGUUGUGAUCCGGGGCCGUGUUGUUGUAGAUUCAUGGUAGGUGCUUGUAGUUUUAGUGGUUCGUUUUGGUACGCGUUCUCCCGCUGUCGUUCAUCAUCUACUUCGUGUUGUCCGCAUUUUUGUUCCUCUUCUGCUCGUGGUAGGUUCAACGUGUUCAGUUUCUAUGAUUCAGAUAAAUGUAUGGAUCAGUUAUAGGGUUUUGAGAUGGGAGUUUUUGUGGUUUUGGGUUUGUGAUUUGCGUUGGUAGGUGGUUUGUUUGUUCGCUGGUAGAUGGGUGUUGCCUCCCUUGUCCGUGUUGGUUUCUAGGUUUCCUCUUAUGCCCUCUGUUGCAGGUCCCUUCUGUCAUGUGAGUGGAUAAAUCGCUCUUAGUGUUGGUUUAGAUGUACUUAGGUUCCUUCUUCUUAAUGCCAUGGUAACUGUGUGUGUGAUGCAGGUUUUGUAUCUUUUUCCUUGUGCCUAGUGUUGAUGUGUAUCCCCAUAGUUUUAGUGUCAUACAUUAGAAUUACUGUGUAUUUUUGCAUGAGUCUUACUGUGUAAUCCACAUAGUUUCAGUGUGCAAAUUGCAAAUCUAGUUUCUAUUUAUUCCAGUAGAUCAUCCCAGUAGAGUCUGAUGCCAUUGAAAUGUUUCUGUUUAUGUUAAUUGUCAUGCAUCUUAUUUUCCACGAAUUACUAUGGAAUUUAACUAUGAUUUACACUAUAAUAUAGGACAGUUUUCCACUGUAUGCCCAAUAUUGCACUGUAAUUUACCAACUGUAGUAUACCCCAGAAUUACAGUGUAAUUUCUAUGCUUCAUCACUGUAUCUACCCCAGAUUUACACUGCAAUUUAUAUGCUUCAGAACUGUAAUCAGAUGUGGAUUUACCUCUAAAUUGUUGUAGGGCUUACACUGUAAUAUACCGCAGAUUUACACUGUAAUUUGUAUGCUUCAGCACUGUAAAUGUUGUAUGCUUUACACAGUAUUUUUUGGACUGAGUAUAGUGGAUUUUUACCUCUGAAUUGAUGUAGGGCUUACACUGUAAUAUACUGCACAUUUACACUGUAAUUUGUAUGCUUCAGUACUGUAAAUUUGUAGGUCUUACACAGUAUUCGUCAGAUGAUUUACCUCUCAUUUUUACAGUGUGAUUUCCAUGCUUUUUAGCUCUGUACUUCAUGUAGUUUCUUGCAUUUUUGUUUUCUUCUUUUCAUGUGCAAGUGUGUCUCUGUUGCAGAGUAGUAUUGAGCGAGGUCCUGUUUUUCACUCUGUAAUUACUAGUAUUUUUUGCCUCAGACUUACUAUGCAAAUUGCAUGGUAGUUUCUAUGUAAGUCAGCCCAUAGUUUCAGUGUUUUUUCACAUAAUUACUAGUAUUUACUGUGUAUUUUUGCCCCAUUUUUACUGUGUAAUUCAUCAUGUAGUUUCAGUGUAAUUUACUAUAAAAUUAUUUUGUAAUUCAUCAUGCAGUUCCAGUGUAAUUCCAUGUAGAAUUACUGUGUAAAUCAUGCCGUAUUUUUACUGUGUAAUUUACUAUAGAAUUACUGUGUAAUUCAUUAUGCAGUUUCAGUGUAAUUCAUUAAUGCAGUUUCAGUGCCGUAGUUUUACUGUGUAAUUCUGCUAUGUAAUUCCUGACUAUGCCCCCUGAUUCCAGUGUAAUUUCCCCUAGAAUUACGAUGGUUUACAUUGUAGCUACAGUGUAUAUUCCCAGAUUUUUUGCAAUGUAUUUACAUUGAUUCAGUUAUGUAAUCUCUCAUGCUAAUUUUCACUGUACCCCUAUUCUUUCUUCUGAAUUUUUACAGUGUACCCCUAGUUUUACUGUGUUGCUUAUUAUAUGUAUUUUACAGUGUAAUUUUUGCCCUAAUUUGCAGUGUAAUAUUCAUGCUUUUAGCACUGUGAUUUAUAGGUUUAGUUUAUGAGUGGUUGCAAAUGGGUUUACAUAUCUUCAAGGAUUGUCGCUCUGUUUGCAAGCUUGACCUGUCGCAAUUUGUUUAUGAGUGGUUGUUGUCUAGUAUUAAGAAAUUCAAGGAUUCUACUAAAGUUGCUUCGAAAAGCUCUGUGACGUUUGGUGGCUGCCAUUACGCCUUUGCUGUUUCUUUCCUUGAUCAUCUCAAUUUCGGUCUCUACUCUGUCCCUGAUGUCAAGCCUCGUGUACUAGCAUGAAGAGGUAACAAAGUCAAGCAGUUUGCAGAGCUUGAUAGAAUAAUAACCGCUCUUACGGGAAGAGGCCACUGAAGGCUUUUUGUCCUACAGUUCAUUUGCAGUUCAUGGUGCCAAACAGGUCUGCAUGCCACCACGGGUUCUGUUCUGCUGCACAUUCUUCAUUUCGUGUAGCUUCGUUUUCCAGUUCUCCAAAUGUCUGCACAAGAAUACUAAAGUCAUUUUCCUUGUAAGAGAGGUGAAGGGGGUGAAGAAUUGAAGUGCUAGGGGGUAGCAGUAGUUUUUUGUUCCUGGCCUGUUGAUUUUCCUGGGAUUUCCCCAAUUGCCUAAGCGGGUGAAGAAUUGAAGCUGCUGUUGUUCCUUCUUGCUUUUCUCUAGGCGAGAUCUCUGCUGCUGUUAUGUAGGAGGGGUUGGAGAGUUCCCAAGAGGCCCGCGUUUCUGUGGGUAGCAAGUUGAUGGCCAGCUGUUUGCUGUAGUCCAGCGAGGCUGCCGAGCAGCGAGGUUUGGUGGUGAUGCCGGUUUAGUUGAAACCGGGUCAGGGUUUUGCCCGACUCGUUUAACCCGAAAUGAGAAAAUAAACAGUGGCCGGUGGGGGGUGGGGGUUUGGGACAAGGGCAUGUGUCAUCUGUUCAUUGGUUGGGGAAUUUGAAUGUCGUUGAAUUGAAAAACAGUCAAAUGUCAAAUAGACAGUCUCAAUUAACAUGGUCUUUGUCCAAAUUAA